rnacentral:rRNA from 1 species
AGUGAACGCCGGCGGUAGGCCUAACACACGCAAGUCGAACGGCAGCACAGUAAGAGCUUGCUCUUACGGGUGGCGAGUGGCGGACGGGUGAGGAAUACAUCGGAAUCUACUUUUUCGUGGGGGAUAACGUAGGGAAACUUACGCUAAUACCGCAUACGACCUACGGGUGAAAGCAGGGGAUCUUCGGACCUUGCGCGAUUGAAUGAGCCGAUGUCGGAUUAGCUAGUUGGCGGGGUAAAGGCCCACCAAGGCGACGAUCCGUAGCUGGUCUGAGAGGAUGAUCAGCCACACUGGAACUGAGACACGGUCCAGACUCCUACGGGAGGCAGCAGUGGGGAAUAUUGGACAAUGGGCGCAAGCCUGAUCCAGCCAUACCGCGUGGGUGAAGAAGGCCUUCGGGUUGUAAAGCCCUUUUGUUGGGAAAGAAAAGCAGCAGGUUAAUACCCCGCUGUUCUGACGGUACCCAAAGAAUAAGCACCGGCUAACUUCGUG